UACGUAGGCAGCAAGCGUUGUUCGGAGUUACUGGGCGUAAAGAGUAUGUAGGCGGUGUCCUAAGUUCGGUGUGAAAUCUCCCGGCUCAACUGGGAGGGUGCGCCGAAGACUGGGAUGCUGGAGUCUCGGAGAGGAACGCGGAAUUCCUGGUGUAGCGGUGAAAUGCGUAGAGAUCAGGAAGAACAUCGGUGGCGAAGGCGCUCUGCUGGACCAUAACUGACACUCAGGGACGAAAGCUAGGGGAGCGAAUGGG
rnacentral:rRNA from 1 species